rnacentral:tRNA from 1 species
GCCUGGCUGGCUCAGUUGGGAGAGCCUGGAACUCUUGAUCUCAGGGGUCAUGAGUUCAAACCCCAUGUUGGGUG